rnacentral:rRNA from 1 species
CCUACGGGAGGCAGCAGUGAGGAAUAUUGGUCAAUGGGCGAGAGCCUGAACCAGCCAAGUCGCGUGAAGGAUGACGGCCCUACGGGUUGUAAACUUCUUUUGUCAGGGAGCAAUUUGGUCCACGCGUUGGCUUAGCGAGAGUACCUGAAGAAAAAGCAUCGGCUAACUCCGUGCCAGCAGCCGCGGUAAUACGGAGGAUGCGAGCGUUAUACGGAUUUAUUGGGUUAAAAGGAUGCGUAGGCGGAAUAUCAAGUCAGCGGUAAAAAUUCGGGGCUCAAGCCCGUCGUGCCGUUGAAACUGAUGAUCUUGAGUGGGCGAGAGGAAAGCGGAAUGCGUGGUGUAGCGGUGAAAUGCAUAGAUAUCACGAAGAACAUCGAUUGCGAAGGCAGCAUACCGGCGCCCAACUGACGCUGAAGCACGAAAGCGUGGGUAUCGAACAGGAUUAGAUACCCGUGUAGUC